GGGAAGGUAGCUCAGUGGUAGAGCGCUUGACUUGCACGCAUGAGGCCCUGGGUUCGAUUCCUCAGCACCA
rnacentral:tRNA from 1 species